AGGGUUGACCAAGUGACACUUGAAAAUUCAUUAACCUCUGGGUUGCCAUUUCAGAAAAAAUCUUCCUCAGCAUCCCUUACACACAUAAAUUGGAGAGGACUUUUGGCAGAUAGGAUAGGAGUCAUAUAAAAAUUUGUUUGGGGUCAAUCCUCUAAUCCACAUUCAUGAGCCCAAGGCAUCUAGAGAGAUAUCAGACACCCUUUGAGAUGGCAACUCUCAAGCAGUUUGCAACCUAGCUGGGGAGUUAAAGAAACAGUAGAACACACAGAAAAAUUGGGAAUAACUGCCUGCUGCAGAACACAGCAAAAAUGCUGUGCCAGUUUAGCAUCAGAGAGCCCUUCAAGGGGGGCAAUCAUCAGGCAUCAGGCAGGUUUCUUGGACUGAAGGACAUCCUUGUUCUGGACCACUCGCGAGGAGGGUAAAGACAGCCGUGGGACAGAGCAUCAUCAGCUUCAGUGAAGAUUAAGAAUCACUGUUUUUGAUUAAGAACUUGCUUCUAGAGAUUUCUGUGAAGAUUGGACAUUUUCCUUGGAUUGGACAUUGGAUGUGGCAUGUAAGAUUUUUAGCAUGUGAAUAAAAGAUAAUUCUGGAAGCACUGAAGAAGACAGUCUGGAAGGUGGGAAGACCAGUACAGCUGAUCACUCUCAACUUUGGAGAGUAUCUGGAAUCUACAGACCAGUCACUAUGUCGCUGGAACUGCGCGAGGGGCUCUCCAUUCAUAGUCCCAUCCUCAGAACAACUCUUAAAGAGAAAAACAACGAGGCUUCAUUUUUCAGAAUAGGGAGACUUUGGCACAGAAAAGUGAAGCAACUUGUCCGAAUUUCCCAGUCAUUAGUCAUAGAGCCAGAGCUCUCACCAGGUGCGGGUCUGGCUGGGGAAACCAGCAAUCUUUGCCCUGCCCCCACCCCAUGCUGUCUCCUCUUCCAGCAGCAAGCUUCCAGAUCUCCCAUUCUGGAGGGGAGUCAAGUCUCCUUAUCAGCAACUGAAAGGGAUUUGAAGAUUUGCAUCUGCAAGUGGGCUGCUUACCCCUUGAAAAGAUAAUCAAUUUCUCUAAGUGGAUACGUUUUAUUGGAAGGCUCCCUGGCAAAAGCACUGGAAACGCUAGGAGAACUGGGGUCUUUUUGUGCUCAGGUCACAGUCUAUGGGGUAAGUGUGGUGCAAUAAGACAGGCAAGAUUGCACUGACAUCGCCCUAGAGAACCUCUGGGAAGGUUCCUGCAUCUGUCACGGGGUAGAAGACCAGUGGCAGAGGGUUCAGAACUCCAAGCAAGCAGGCUCCACACUGACUUUUAGGCUUUAACACAAAAGUGAAUGCGCUCAAAUGAUUAUCUGACUCCUCAGAUUAAACCAGGAAAGAAAAGUGAUCCGGUGGCAAAGAACCAAACCAGAACACCCAGAUCAGACAGGGAACAAACACCUGAAGUGACAACUCCAAAUUCACGGUUCUAUGAGCCACUAGCACGUUGCUGGAUGAUUAGGGGUUUUGUUUGUGUUUCUUUUUCUUUGUCUGCCUUUUCUUUUUUUAAAAAAAAAAAAACCUGUUUUUUAUGGCAAUACUACAAAGCAAAAGAAUCUUUAAAUACCACCCCUCCCCCCAUCAGCCACACUAAUGAAAG